GGGGCGUGUAGCAAUUACCAGCCUGGCAUUAUAACGGAGACCUGUUACGCUUGCUCGUGGCGUCCUGUAUUUGUACAUCUCUGUCCAAAUCGCCGUGAUCCAGCUAGCUUACACAGAAGGGCGAUUCGAUCGAGGCCGCCGCCCCGCCGCCGCCGCCGCCGGAGACGAUCCCCUGCAGUCAGUUAGUUAAGCUACAAAAUGGCCUCGCUGGACACCGUCAGAGGAGAUCUUGGCCUGGUUGUUUUGUACCUAAGCAAGGCUGAGGCAAGAGAUAAGAUCUGUAGAGCUAUACAAUAUGGAUCCAAGUUCCUGAGCAACGGACAACCAGGACCUGCACAGAAUGUCGACAAAUCAACUAGUCUAGCUCGGAAAGUUUUCCGACUGUUUAAGUUUGUUAAUGAUCUCCAAGCUCUGAUUAGCCCCCCUGCCAAAGGAACUCCACUUCCGCUGAUCUUACUUGGAAAGUCGAAGAACGCGAUGCUGUCAACUUUCCUCUUUCUGGACCAAAUUGUUUGGGCUGGGAGAACAGGAGUAUACAAGAACAAGGAGCGAGCAGAGUUUCUUGGCAGGAUAGCAUUUUAUUGCUUUCUCGGAUCCAAUACCUGUACUACUAUCAUCGAGCUAGCCGAGCUUCAGCGGCUUUCCAAAUCGAUGAAGAAGUUAGAGAAGGACCUCAAGCACCAAGAGCUGUACAAGAACGAGCAGUAUCGGAUGAAGCUGAAGAAGUCCAACGAGAGGCUGCUCGCCCUCAUCAAAUCGAGCCUCGACAUAGUCGUCGCCGUGGGGCUGCUGCAACUGGCACCAAAAAAGGUCACUCCUCGCGUCACGGGUGCGUUUGGGUUCGCUAGCUCGCUCAUCGCCUGUUACCAGUUGCUUCCAGCCCCAGCCAAAUCCAAGUGAUCUGCCUGCCCACCUCGGGCCAGGCAGCUGGUGCAUUGAUUGGUGAAACGGCGGUUGCUGUCGCCCCUUGUUGUCGCUGAUACUGAUAAGAAAUAAAUCUGGACCGAACUGUCCGUCCCCGUAGGAUAUAACCAAGGAUUAUUGCUGUGCAUGCUGGCAUUGCCGAGGGCCAUCUCAUAGCCUGGUUGAUCUGCCUUGCCUUAGACUUGAUCAUGUAGCACGCUUGUAUUUGUAUGGUCCGGUGUGCCACUAUCAUACUACAACUGUUGCGAAAUAAUUAGAAAUUUCAUACUAGAAUGGUGACGGCUCGCGUCUAGAUUUAUCUUGACGUUGUGCCGCGACGAUGAUGCGUUAGCUGGAUGUUCUUCUUUCUUCUUCUGUUGUUUUUGUUUGAGAAAAAAAAAUUCAUGUAUGUUGUAUGAAGUUGCCUUCUGCAAACCAAAACUUAAUUUCUCAGGCGGUGCGUGGGCCUAGUCUAAAUGAGAUUGAAAUUGGG
rnacentral:rRNA from 1 species